GAUGAACGCUAGCGAUAGGCUUAACACAUGCAAGUCGAGGGGCAGCAUGGUCUUAGCUUGCUAAGACUGAUGGCGACCGGCGCACGGGUGCGUAACGCGUAUGCAACUUGCCUCACAGAGGGGGAUAACCCGUCGAAAGACGGACUAAUACCGCGUACACUUGGGAUAGGGCAUCCUGACCCAAGGAAAUGAAAUUCGCUGUGAGAUAGGCAUGCGUCCCAUUAGCUAGUUGGUGAGGUAACGGCUCACCAAGGCGACGAUGGGUAGGGGAACUGGGAGGUUGAACCCCCACACUGGUACUGAGACACGGACCAGACUCCUACGGGAGGCAGCAGUGAGGAAUAUUGGUCAAUGGGCGAGAGCCUGAACCAGCCAAGUCGCGUGAAGGAUGACUGUCUUAUGGAUUGUAAACUUCUUUUAUACGGGAAUAACAAGAGUCACGUGUGGCUCCCUGCAUGUACCGUAUGAAUAAGCAUCGGCUAACUCCGUG
rnacentral:rRNA from 1 species